AAUACGUUCCCGGACCUUGCACACACCGCCCGUCAAGCCAUGGAAGCAGGGUGUACCUAAAGUCGGUAACCGCAAGGAGCCGCCUAGGGUAAAACUAGUGACUGGGGCU
rnacentral:rRNA from 1 species